rnacentral:rRNA from 1 species
GAUGAACGCUGGCGGCGUGCCUAAUACAUGCAAGUCGAGCGAACAGACGAGGAGCUUGCUCCUCUGACGUUAGCGGCGGGCGGGUGAGUAACACGUGGAUAACCUACCUAUAAGACUGGGAUAACUUCGGGAAACCGGAGCUAAUACGGGAUAAUAUAUUGAACCGCAUGGUUCUAUAGUGAAAGACGGUUUUGCUGUCUCUUCUAGCUGGAUCGGGGCGGCAUUAGCUAGUUGGUCAGGUAACGGCUUACCAAGGCAACGAUGCGUAGGCGACCUGAGAGGGUGAUCGGCCACACGGGAACUGGGACACGGUCCAGACUCCUACGGGAGGCAGCAGUAGGUAAUCUUCGGCAAUGGGCGAAAGCUUGGCGGAGCAACGCCGCGUGAGUGAUGAAGGUCUUCGGAUCGUAAAACUCUGUUAUUAGGGAAGAACAAAUGUGUAAGUAACUAUGCACGUCUUGACGGUACCUAAUCAGAAAGCCACGGCUAACUACGUG